ensembl:misc_RNA 7SK 7SK RNA
GGAUGUGAGAGCAAUCUGGAUGCAGCGUCUGUCACCCCAUUGAUUGCCAGGGUUGAUGUGACUAAUCUGACUGGCUUGGUGGGGGGGUGUCCCCCUCUUCCUCAACAACCCAUGCACACCCUUCCAGAACUGAGACCUUUUUUUUGAGACAUGGUUUCUCUGUAGCUUUGGAGGCUGUCCUGGAGCUCUGUAGACCAGGCUGACCUCAAACUCACAGAGAUCCGCCUGCCUCU